AGGCUGAGGGAGCUGCACCUGAGGAAACCCAGGAGGCAAAGGUGGUCCUGGUCAGGAUGAUGAGGAGGUCCGUGUGGCUGGAGCAGGUGAGCUAGGUGGAGAGAGGCCGUAGAUGAGGGCAGAGCUGCUGCGGGAGCCAAACGUGUAAGGAUCUUUUCGGGCAGUGAGAGGACGUUGGUUUCUCACAGCAGAGAAGGGACAUCAUCUGACAUAUUUUAAAAGUAUCUCUCCGGCUCCCUUGUGGACUGUAAGGGACCAAGAGUUGAAACAGGCACCCAGGAGGAGUCCUUCCAGCAACUGAGAGGACUUGGUCCGAUUCUACCUCCGGAACAAUGCUCAGCCCACAGCCCUCAUUCCCUCCGUGAUGAACAGUAACUGUGGACUUUUGACCUUCCUCUUGAGCUUGGUCUGAGUCUUGGCAUUUACAACCACGGCUCUAGGUUUCUCCUGUCUACUUAUGUAUGAAUGACAUCAAACCAAUGAAGCCACUGUGAGAAAUCUGCCACUGAUACAUAAUUAUUUACUUAUAUUACCCAUAAGGAGAACAUUAUCUGUUUCUUAUCCAUUUAAUUAAGAAGAAAGACUACAGAAGAUAUUUGUUUAUUUCUCCUUUACAAAAUGUUUUCUAUCUGGCCAUGGCUAUAAGACAAAUA
rnacentral:lncRNA from 1 species